rnacentral:rRNA from 1 species
AUGGUGCAGAUAGAAGAGCUUGCAGUUAUGGUGCAAAAGAGUAAGCAUCUAGUGGUGUUUACCGGAGCAGGAAUAUCAACUUCAUCAGGCAUACCUGAUUUCCGAGGCCCAAAGGGUGUGUGGACUCUGCAGCGUGCAGGAAAAGGUGUUCCUGAUGCUUCACUCCCAUUUCACCGAGCUGCUCCAACCUUGACUCAUAUGGCAUUAGUUGAAUUGGAAAGAGCAGGUCUCCUAAAGUUUGUCAUAAGCCAGAAUGUUGACAGCCUACAUUUGCGUUCUGGCUUCCCAAGGGAGAAGCUGGCUGAAUUGCAUGGAAAUUCUUUCAAGGAGGUCUGCCCAUGCUGUAAAAUGGAGUACCUUCGUGAUUUUGAAAUAGAGACAAUAGGACUGAAGGAUACUCCAAGGCGUUGUACAGACAAGAACUGUGGAGCUAGAUUAAAAGAUACAGUUCUUGAUUGGGAGGAUGCGUUACCCCCUGAGGAGAUGAAUUCUGCCGAGGAGCAGUGUCGAACAGCUGAUCUUGUCCUAUGUCUAGGAACUAGCUUGCAGAUUACUCCUGCAUGUAAUAUGCCUCUGUUGUCAAUCAAGAAUGGGGGAAAGGUUGCUAUUGUUAAUCUUCAGGCAACUCCGAAAGAUAAAAAGGCAAGCCUUGUCAUCCAUGGGCUUGUGGAUAAGGUCAUUGCUGGAGUGAUGUGCAUUCUGAGUUUGCGCAUUCCUCCAUAUAUACGUACUGACUUCAUUCAACUUCUUCUUCGGCACACAGUGAAAAAGAAAUGUGUAAGAUGGACUCUGCGAGUAACUAGCGUUCAUGGCAUGCGAGCACCAUUGUCAUUUCUUCGGUCAAUCGAGGUUUCCUUUCCAGACAGAUCUGACAUGAAGCCUGUAGUGCUUAUGGAGCAACCGUUUUCUUUGCAGAGGGAAACAUCAAUGACUAGCAUAUUUUCCAUGUUGCUGACAUUGAACUUCAGUGAUGGUUGUGGCUGCUCAAGCUCGUCAAUUGAAUGCCAUGUUAAUUUCCAGAAGCAAAAGGAGAGUUUUGUUAGGGAUAGAAGCCUAGUCCUGCAGGAGUUGAAGUGCACUGCAGAGCGCCAGUCUCGUGCCGGGCAGCAAUCGAUUCUUGAAAGGGAGAGUCUGCCAAGAGCCGAGACAUCUAUAUACGCGUUUGUGACCAACAUUAUCAGGUACGACGCUGCAGAUCUCAAGGUGGCUGAUCCUAAGGGUAGUUGGAUGAACAGCGGCAGCAGUACCAGCAGCAACCUUGCAAAACGGCUCGUGGAAGGUGCUAGUGGCUACUCCGCCUCGACAAAGAAGCUAAAGUGCUAG